CCUACGGGAGGCAGCAGUGGGGAAUAUUGCGCAAUGGGCGAAAGCCUGAUGCAGCGACGCCGCGUGAGGGAUGAAGGUCUUCGGAUUGUACACCUCUGUCAGCAGGGAAGAACGGUCACUGUGUUAAUCAGUAGUGAAUUGACGGUACCUGCAAAGGAAGCACCGGCUAACUCCGUGCCAGCAGCCGCGGUAAUACGGAGGGUGCGAGCGUUAAUCGGAAUUACUGGGCGUAAAGCGCUCGUAGGCGGUAUGUGAAGUCAAGGGUGAAAUCCCCGGGCUCAACGUGGGAACUGCCUUUGAAACUGGCAAACUGGAGUGUGGGAGAGGCAGGUGGAAUUCCAGGUGUAGGGGUGAAAUGCGUAGAUAUCAGGAGGAACAUCAGUGGCGAAGGCGGCUAUCUGGAACAUAACUGACGCUGAGGAGCGAAAGCGUGGGUAGCAAACAGGAUUAGAUACCCCUGUAGUC
rnacentral:rRNA from 1 species